rnacentral:rRNA from 1 species
UGGGGAAUAUUGCGCAAUGGGCGAAAGCCUGACGCAGCAACGCCGCGUGAGUGAUGAAGGCCUUCGGGUCGUAAAGCUCUGUCGGAGGGAACGAAUGCUCUUGAGGUUAACAGCCUCGGGAGGUGACGGUACCCUCAAAGGAAGCACCGGCUAACUCUGUGCCAGCAGCCGCGGUAAUACGUAGGGACCAAGCGUUGUUCGGAUUUACUGGGCGUAAAGGGCGCGUAGGCGGCAUGACAAGUCACUUGUGAAAUCUCUGGGCUUAACCCAGAACGGCCAAGUGAUACUGUCGCGCUAGAGUGCAGAAGGGGCAAUCGGAAUUCUUGGUGUAGCGGUGAAAUGCGUAGAUAUCAAGAGGAACACCUGAGGUGAAGACGGGUUGCUGGGCUGACACUGACGCUGAGGCGCGAAAGCCAGGGGAGCAAACGGGAUUAGAUACCCUCGUAGUCCCUGAGCGGGCUGGCAAGGCGCAU